UACGUAGGGGGCAAGCGUUGUCCGGAUUCAUUGGGCGUAAAGAGCGUGUAGGCGGCCAGGCAGGUCCGCUGUGAAAACUCGAGGCUCAACCUCGAGAUGUCGGUGGAAACCGUCUGGCUAGAGUCCGGAAGAGGAGAGUGGAAUUCCCGGUGUAGCGGUGGAAUGCGCAGAUAUCAGGAGGAACACCGGUGGCGAAGGCGGGUCUCUGGGCCGAUAUUGACGCUGAGGAGCGAAAGCGUGGGGAGCAAACAGG
rnacentral:rRNA from 1 species